GUGCAAUAAGAGGAGGCGGAGGAGGAAGCAGUAGAGCGCAAGAGGAGGAGGAGGAGUGGGGGAUAAAGAAAGAGGGAGAGGGAUAGAAAGGAGGGAGAGAGAGAGCAAACAAUGUCAUUCUGUUCAGGAGGCAAUGCUGCAGUCAACUUUACGGCAGUGUGAAGGAAGCCUCAGACACCAUCAACUCCUCCAGCCGACAGCAGCAUCAGUAGCAGCCUCCCAGCUCCACUGAAGAGACUGAAGACAAGAAGAGAGAGUCAAUUCUCUCAGAUGGGGGCUGCCUGGGCUGAAACUGAGUCGUGCAAGCUGGAACAUGCCUUGACUUGUACCGGCUUGCCAGGCUGAGGAAGGAGAGAGCCUUUGUGCCCUGUGGUCAACAGUUUCACACUGACCUGUGUUAAGUCACCCUCAGAGGGAGAGAAAUCAGACCAGCAGGGUGGCUCUCAACACUAGCAGUUGACUGGACCAGAACAGGACCCUGGAUGUUCAGCUGUACCCAGUCUAUACUCUGACCUCAGUCAUAACACUGUUUCACUGCUCUAGGGGAUCCCCCCCCC